GUUAGUGAGUAUGUGCCAGAAAUCGUGAACUUUGUCCAGAAGAUUGUGGACAACGGUUACGGGUAAGCACAAGGGCCCUCCCUAGGGAGGGAAGGGCUGCAGAACAUCGCACAGGGAGGAGCUCCCCAGCUCUGAGUCUGAGUUUGGGAAGCAGAGGAGCAGGUGUUCUGGGGCUGCGUAGCUAGAAGUCCCAGCAGACUUCCUCCUACAACUCUGGGCCCCACCCAGGGGCUGAGGAGCAUGGGUCUGCACUGUCCUGGGGGCCAUGGUGAGAACCUAACCCAGAAUCUGCUGGGAAGCUCGGCAGCCAAGACCAUCAGUCAUGGGGCCCCAGAGCUGCAUAAUGCUAUGUCUCCAAUGGGUCUGUCUACUUUGAUACAGCGAAGUUUGCUUCUAGCGAGAAGCACUCCUAUGGGAAGCUGGUACCUGAGGCCGUUGGAGAUCAGAAAGCCCUUCAAGAAGGGGAAGGUGACCUGAGCAUCUCUGCAGACCGCCUGAGUGAGAAGCGCUCUCCCAAUGACUUUGCCUUAUGGAAGGCCUCUAAGCCCGGAGAACCGUCCUGGCCGUGCCCUUGGGGAAAGGGUCGUCCGGGCUGGCAUAUCGAGUGCUCGGCCAUGGCAGGCACCCUCCUAGGGGCUUCGAUGGACAUUCACGGAGGU
rnacentral:sRNA from 1 species